rnacentral:rRNA from 1 species
GACGAACGCUGGCGGCGUGCCUAACACAUGCAAGUCGAACGGAGAUAGUUAAUGAAGCUUGCGAUUUAGCUAUCUUAGUGGCGAACGGGUGAGUAACGCGUGGGUAACCUGCCCUUAAGACCGGGACAACAGCUGGAAACGGCUGCUAAUACCGGAUGUAUUGUCCGAGAGGCAUCUCUUGGAGAAGAAAGCUGGCCUCUGAAAAUGCUAGCGCUUAGGGAUGGACCCGCGUCUGAUUAGCUAGUUGGUGGGGUAAAGGCCUACCAAGGCGACGAUCAGUAGCCGGCCUGAGAGGGUAAACGGCCACACUGGGACUGAGACACGGCCCAGACUCCUACGGGAGGCAGCAGUGGGGAAUCUUCCGCAAUGGACGAAAGUCUGACGGAGCAACGCCGCAUGUAUGAAGAAGGCCUUCGGGUUGUAAAAUACUGUUGUUAGGGAAGAACGGCAUCUGUGUAAAUAAUGCAGGUGAUUGACGGUACCUAACGAGGAAGCCCCGGCUAACUACGUGCCAGCAGCCGCGGUAAUACGUAGGGGGCAAGCGUUGUCCGGAAUCAUUGGGCGUAGAGGGCGCGUAGGCGGGCUCAUAAGUCUGAUGUGAAAGUGCGGAGCUUAACU